GAUGAACGCUAGCGGCAGGCCUAACACAUGCAAGUCGAACGGUAACAUGAGUAGCAAUACUUGAUGACGAGUGGCGCACGGGUGCGUAACGCGUAUGCAACUUACCUCUAACUGGAGAAUAGCCUUCCGAAAGGAAGAAUAAUACUCCAUAAUAUUACGAUGUGGCAUCACAUUGUUCUUAAAGCUUCGGCGGUUAGAGAUGGGCAUGCGUCUGAUUAGCUUGUUGGUGAGGUAACGGCUCACCAAGGCAACGAUCAGUAGGGGGCCUGAGAGGGUUAUCCCCCACACUGGUACUGAGACACAGACCAGACUCCUACGGGAGGCAGCAGUGAGGAAUAUUGGUCAAUGGACGAAAGUCUGAACCAGCCAUGCCGCGUGCAGGAUGAAUGCCCUAUGGGUUGUAAACUGCUUUUAUAUAGGAAUAAACCCCUUUACGUGUAAAGGGCUGAAGGUACUAUAAGAAUAAGGACCGGCUAACUCCGUGCCAG
rnacentral:rRNA from 1 species